rnacentral:rRNA from 1 species
GUUCGAGGUGGAAGCAUGGCGACAUGUGGAGCUGACGAAUACUAAUCGAUCGAAGACUUAAUCAAUUU